UUAUUUUGAUACAGUGUGUAACCGGAAAUCAGAAAAAAAAGACGAAUCUGCAGAUCUGCAGCGUUUGCACGACACAAACGAGUCAAUUAAAAGUUAAAAAACAUUAAAGAAACGUCAAAUUAUAAGUUCGUUUAGCACCUGGCUGAUAAAGGCACAAGCUCUUACGGUGUGUUCAAGGUGUGUUCAAGGUGUGUUCAGAGUGUGUUUUAUUGGAGCAACGUUAACGUUAAUAAACCUAUGAACCAUCA